AGAGAAGGGAGGGGCUGGCACAGUCCUAUUUCAAAACACAAUGCUUGUGUAGUCACCGAGGCAGAUAGCCCUCAGGGCCAUGUGCAACUUCUUUAGCCAAGAAGAGAAUAAAAAUACCUUUUAACUGUUUGGGUCUUCCCUAGACCUUCUUUUUCAGGAUCUCUCAGGCUGUCCUCCAGAAACAUUAGGUUGAAUUACCAGUCCUUUCACCUUCAUCGCAUGUACCAACAGCUCGCAAAGAGGUCUGUUUGAUCCUUGGAGAAAUAAGACAAAUGAAAUGUGAGCCUACAGAAUCAUAAGACCUCAGCAAGGUCUACAGCAGGACUAGGAAAAAUUACAUGGCCGAGCAUUGAACAGUCUGCUCCGGAAACUGCUGGAGUCCCCCUCUCUGGAGGUCCUGCACGGAAACCCCUGGGACGGUGAUGAUGGUCUGGUGAUGGCACACUGCUGGCAACAUUCUCUUGUGGUGAACACAGAAAGACCCCUUCCUAAAGCAGACAGCAAAGAAAACCAGCAGUAUCACCUCAGUCUGCUCAGCCUGCUGAUUAAAGGACUGGAAAUAUGGAAAGAGGGAAGAAAACGGGUGCUGCUGGCUGCAUGCAAACACCAGAGUGCUACAGCACUCUACCUGGAACUCUCUGCAGGUUUGCUUUCAGCUGGGACAGUUGUUUUUUUUUUUUUUCAUAGUGUCUAAUACCAUGCUAUGUUUUGGCUUCGGGAGAAAACAAUGUUACUACCACAUGUUUUUGUUCUUGCUGAGCAGUGUUGUACAGAACCAAUGAUGUUUCAACUUCUGGUACUGCGCUGUCAGUGACGGGGGCUUCAGGGCACAGCAGACAGACCACGACAGCUGACCUGAACUGGCCAAAGGGAUACUUCAUGCAGUAUAGCAUCACGUGAAAAUACUGUAAAACUGAGGGAAGUUGGCUGGAUGGGUAACCACUGCUUGGAGACUGACUGGGCACCAGCUGGUGGGUGAUGAGCAAUUGCAUUGUAAAUCACUUGUCUGGUAAAUGCAUAUUAUUACCAUUACUAUUAAUAUUUUCCUGGACAAUCCUUUAGAAAUUUUGAACAACCUUAUGCAGACUACAAAAAUUACAGUAUCUCACUGUCUGCCAAACAGCAAUAACUACCUACAGGGCAAGUCCCGACACAGCAGAAGGAAUGAUUUGAAACUAUUCCUAAAUAGAAAACAUCUGAACACUAAAAAUACGACUCUAUAUAUUCUUAUAGAUACCUGUAGUUCUUUCCAAUUCUGAAAUUACAAGGUCAUCUGACUUUAAAUCUCAUUUAAGCCAUUAAAUCUCACUCACUCAUAAAUCAAAUGUCUUGGAUUCAAUCAAAAAUACGAGAAACUCAUCCUAUCUUGAGCUGAAGAAGCGAAGGGGGAGGGAACCCACUCUGUCCCCUGUGUUUUGUCAUGGUUGAUCAUAUUUUAUUGUUUAGAAAGUAAACUCUGAUUUUUAAACUGAAUCCACUGUUUGAACAUCCAGCUACCAGUUUUGGCUACAUCUUCAUGUAUUUUUCAACAUAGUAAUCACCAUUAGCUGAUUUGUGUGGAUGAGCUGAUUGACACACUCUUCAUUCUGUGGGGCAACAGCUCUGCAUGGCUGUCCAGAAUGUGGCUUAUCUUUCACAUCAAUGUCACCGCUGCUGAAAUGCACCACCCACUGCCUCACUGUGCUCACAUCCAUUGGUUGGUCUCCACAAACAUUCAGCAAGCAUUGAUGAAUGUCAGUAGGAGCCAUUUUUUCUGCAUGGAGGAAUUCAACUCCACACCAUUACUUCACAUGCACUUUGAUUUGUCAG
ensembl:lncRNA